GCCCAAGUUCCAUCCAAAGCUAGCUGGAUCUGAACAACUGUUUUGCUUUCACUCUCGGAAAAUUACUCCGGCGAACCCUUUGGAAAAUUACUCCGGCGAACAAAUGGAAUCAUCAUCACUGCUCUUCAACCAGCUCAAGGCAGCAGAGCCAUUUUUCUUACUAGCAGGUCCAAAUGUGAUUGAAUCUGAGGAUCACAUUCUUUACAUGGCCAAACACUUGAAGAAUAUCACUUCAAAACUUGGGUUGAAGUUUGUGUUCAAGUCGAGCUUUGACAAGGCUAAUCGAACCUCGUCUAAAUCAUUCCGUGGUCCUGGCUUGGCUGAAGGCUUGAAGAUCCUUGAAAAGGUGAAAACAAUAUAUGACAUACCCAUUGUAACUGAUGUUCAUGAAUCUAUUCAGUGUGAAGCAGUUGGCCGGGUUGCAGAUAUAAUUCAAAUUCCUGCUUUCUUAUGUAGGCAGACAGACCUACUUGUUGCAGCUGCCAAGACUGGAAAAGUUAUUAACAUUAAGAAGGGCCAGUUUUGUGCUUCUUCAGUGAUGGUAAAUUCUGCUGAAAAAGUGAGAUUGGCUGGAAAUCAAAAUGUCAUGGUGUGUGAGAGAGGAACAAUGUUUGGCUAUAAUGACUUGAUUGUAGAUCCCCGGAACUUUGAGUGGAUGAGGGAGGCCAAUUGCCCUGUUGUUGCUGAUAUAACUCAUUCAUUACAACAGCCAGCAGGCAAAAAGCUGGAAGGUGGUGGUGUUGCUAGUGGCGGUUUUCGUGAAUUAAUUCCUUGUAUUGCCAGGACAGCUGUUGCUGUAGGAGUAGAUGGAUUAUUUAUGGAGGUGCACAAUGAUCCCCUGAGUGCUCCAGUUGAUGGUCCAACACAGUGGCCUCUGCGUCAUCUGGAGGAACUACUAGAAGAGCUUGUUGCGCUUGGUAGAGUUAGCAAGGGGAAGCAGCAGUUCAAAAUUGAUCUCACUCCAUUUUGUGACUAGAGCACAGAAGUUUGGCUAUCAAUGAUUCUGCAGAGAAGAUGUCUCCAGUCGUUUUAGCUUACAUGUGGUGAUGAGCUUCCUGCAUUUUUAGUUUUCUACUUGAAGACAUUACACAGCGUGUAUCCGUUACUAUACUGAACAUUAUUGAUUUUUCACUGUUCAUUGUAAUUUGAUCCAAGACUGAUUCACUGUUGAGAGUUGUAACACUUCGAGUGCAUUUAGAACACUGUUCAUUCUAAAGAUGCUCUUUGUGGACUUCCUUUAAACCUUUCGGUACCAUAUGUUACACUUUUGUAAGAAAUUCAUGCUAUUUA
rnacentral:misc_RNA from 1 species